GCCUAGGCUCUAUACAAACCGCACCCUUUAAUAUUUCCUAUUUAUUUUGAGUUCAAAAUCAAAACCUACAAACGAACAAAUGGAAUGCGUGGAAGUAACUCAUAAAUCAAAUAUUCGAUCUUUUAAGGACAUUUCGAUAGAAGUCCCGUAGUUUAUUUCAACUGAUCGUUGAAUCCUCUCAGAUAAUAGCGGGCAACCCCUCUUUCCAGACGGUUUUUUAAGUGAAAUUUCAAACUAAUUCGCACCUUCUGGUUUUCUUUGAAGGCAGCUGCGAUAAUUGGGCUACAGAGGUUUUGUUUUGACGUAUUUCGAAAAGACAAUUACAUUCAGUGCUGCAUCUCAGUACCCGUGUUUGAUUCUUCCUCCAAGUGAACUGGUUUGGAUCUCAUUCGAGUCACUUCUAGUGCGAUGGAGGUAAAACCGACGGUUGCUUUGAGAGCUGCAAUGGUGGGGGCUUUGGCCGCCUUUGCAAAGGUGGCAGGUGCACUCAAGGCUGCAGGUGGAGUUAAGGUGGGUGCUGCCACUGCUGCAGUGACAGCAGCUGCCACUGCAGCGAUCUCGGGAACUAAAGGCAACCCUCCAGAUGCUCAAAAAGCAGAUUCUAGGUGAAAGAGCCUAACACCCCCACUGGCCAACCCAAAGGUCAGCAGUGUUCCAAAUCUUUCUAGCACAAAUAAAUGAUGUUAUGGGAUAAAAUUACCUGACCUCUCUCAGUGUCUUUUGUCAGAUUGGUUUGGCUUUCUUUUUUUUCCCGCAUAUUUAGGAUUUAGUCAUGAGUCAUAAUGAUAUCCUGAGGAGGUAUCUAAUGGGGUUGUUUAGGCAUUUACGUGGGUUAUUUUUGUUGUUCAUGUAAAAUGUCAACCAGAAAUUGUGAGACCUUAUUAAUUAAGGACAUAAUCAGGAGUUUCCGAUUUAUAAACUUUUGGGAGCUUGUGCAGAAAAUAUUUACCAUUUCUAAAUGUCAAUUUGUUGAUACUAUUUGCUUUUCUCAA